UUGCCCUGAUGUGGGGGAUAACCAUUGGAAACGAUGGCUAAUACCGCAUGAUAGCUUCGGCUCAAAGAGGGGGACCUUCGGGCCUCUCGCGUCAGGAUAUGCCCAGGUGGGAUUAGCUAGUUGGUGAGGUAAUGGCUCACCAAGGCGACGAUCCCUAGCUGGUCUGAGAGGAUGAUCAGCCACACUGGAACUGAGACACGGUCCAGACUCCUACGGGAGGCAGCAGUGGGGAAUAUUGCACAAUGGGCGCAAGCCUGAUGCAGCCAUGCCGCGUGUGUGAAGAAGGCCUUCGGGUUGUAAAGCACUUUCAGUCGUGAGGAAG
rnacentral:rRNA from 1 species